UACGUAGGGUGCAAGCGUUUGUCCGGAAUUAUUGGGCGUAAAGAGCUCGUAGGCGGUCUGUUGCGUCGGCUGUGAAAGCCCGGGGCUCACCCCCGGAAGGGUAUUGGAAACUGACGAUCGAGUCCCGAAGAGGAGGGUGGAAUUCCUGGUGUAGCGGUGAAAUGCGUAGAUAUCAGGAGGAACACCGGUGGCGAAGGCGGCCCUCUGGACGGUGACUGACGCUGAGACGCGAAAGCGUGGGGAGCAAACAGG
rnacentral:rRNA from 1 species